rnacentral:rRNA from 1 species
CGAACGCUGGCGGCAGGCCUAAUACAUGCAAGUCGAACGGCUCUUCGGAGCAGUGGCGGACGGGUGAGUAACGCGUGGGAAUGUGCCCUUAGGUACGGAACAACACAGGGAAACUUGUGCUAAUACCGUAUGUGCCCUUCGGGGGAACGAUUUAUCGCCUUUGGAGCAGCCCGCGUUGGAUUAGGUAGUUGGUGAGGUAAAGGCUCACCAAUCCGACGAUCCAUAGCUGGUCUGAGAGGAUGACCAGCCACACUGGGACUGAGACACGGCCCAGACUCCUACGGGAGGGAGCAGUAGGGAAUCUUGCGCAAUGGGCGAAAGCCUGACGCAGCCAUGCCGCGUGUAUGAUGAAGGUCUUAGGAUUGUAAAAUACUUUCACCGGGGAAGAUAAUGACGGUACCCGGAGAAGAAGCCCCGGCUAACUUCGUGCCAGCAGCCGCCGUAA